rnacentral:rRNA from 1 species
ACCGCCCAAGAGUUCAUAUCGACGGCGGUGUUUGGCACCUCGAUGUCGGCUCAUCUCAUCCUGGGGCUGUAGUCGGUCCCAAGGGUAUGGCUGUUCGCCAUUUAAAGAGGUACGUGAGCUGGGUUUAAAACGUCGUGAGACAGUUUGGUCCCUAUCUUCCGUGGGCGCUGCAGAUUUGAGGAAGCCUGCUCCUAGUACGAGAGGACCGGAGUGGACACACCUCUGGUGUAUCGGUUGUCACGCCAGUGGCAUUGCCG